rnacentral:rRNA from 1 species
AACGUAGGUGGCAAGCGUUAUCCGGAUUCACUGGGCGUAAAGCGCAUGCAGGUGGCACUGUAAGUAGGGCAUGAAACCUCCUGGCUUAACUAGGAGACGCUGUCCUAAACUGCAGAGCUUGAGGCUGAGAGAGGGAAGUGGAAUUGCCGGUGUAGUGGUGAAAUGCGUAGAGAUCGGCAGGAACACCCGUGGCGAAAGCGGCUUCCUGGCUCAGUCCUGACACUCAGAUGCGAAAGCUAGGGGAGCGAACGGG